rnacentral:rRNA from 1 species
GACGAACGCUGGCGGCGUGCCUAAUACAUGCAAGUAGAACGCUGAAGGAGGAGCUUGCUUCUCUGGAUGAGUUGCGAACGGGUGAGUAACGCGUAGGUAACCUGCCUGGUAGCGGGGGAUAACUAUUGGAAACGAUAGCUAAUACCGCAUAAUAGUAGAUGUUGCAUGACAUUUACUUAAAAGGUGCAAUUGCAUCACUACCAGAUGGACCUGCGUUGUAUUAGCUAGUUGGUGGGGUAACGGCUCACCAAGGCGACGAUACAUAGCCGACCUGAGAGGGUGAUCGGCCACACUGGGACUGAGACACGGCCCAGACUCCUACGGGAGGCAGCAGUAGGGAAUCUUCGGCAAUGGACGAAAGUCUGACCGAGCAACGCCGCGUGAGUGAAGAAGGUUUUCGGAUCGUAAAGCUCUGUUAUAAGAGAAGAACGAGUGUGAGAGUGGAAAGUUCACACUGUGACGGUAUCUUACCAGAAAGGGACGGCUAACUACGUG